CCGCCGCCGCCCCCUGCUGUCCGGCCCGGCGCCGCAGCGCCGCGGGCCGCCCGGGCCCGCCGGGGGGACGUGCGGGGCGGGGACGUGCGGGGCGGGCCGCCUCGGCCGCCGCGCCGGGCCCGGGGGGUCGCUGGGCCCCGCGGCCGGGCUGCGGGUUUCUGCGGCAGGCCACGCUCGCCGGGCGGGAGCACGUGCGCGGAGCGCACGGAAAUCAAGUUAAAAGUGGUGCCCGUGUCCGCCCUGCCCUCCGCAGCCUCUCCCGUCGCCCAGGAAGCACUGCUUGGUCAGCGUUUUGGUGAGCGUUCUUGCCCCUGAUUAGAGAAGAAGUUCUCUGAGGACAUGGUGCCUUUUUGGUUUCCAAUUCUUCAUGUGAUCCUGUCAGCAUCCUGCCAGGUCCUCGAUGGCCACCUGAGUGGAACAUGUUCAUGCUUGUAUCAUCUGUGCCACCAACUCCAAAUCCAAGUGCUAAAUUUGCAGAAGCAAGUUCACAGAGAAAGCAUCCACCUCAGUGAUAAAGCAAGAAGCAUCAGUCUCCUCUUGGUGGAGAGUUGGCAGCUGCCCAGGAUUCUGCAGCUGAAGACCUUGACUUCAGACAUCUCUCUGUCAAGGCUUCUGGAUUUUCCCUGCCAGCUCUGGAUUUUCCCUGCCAGCUCACACGGUAUUGCGGAGAGCACAGCAACCUGGCCUUGGCACUGUUAAUCCUCCCUGCAGGCUCUGAAGUGUCCUGAAGCCCUGCAUCAGCACUUGUCCAUGCUCUUAGAACUGUCUAAGUUCUUUUUAUAUUAAAGCUAGUGAUUUUUAUCCUUCUGCCACUGCAGUCAGUGUGAGAAGCACUGCCUUCAAUGCAGACAUGCUCUCUUUGGCCAAAUACAGGCAUUUCCAUAUGGUAUAUGAUCCAAGAUCCAGCAUGCUGCCUUUGACCCGUGUGGCCAUCUUAGAAUAAGGAUUAAAAUCCCAACAGGAGGUAGAUAUGGAUUAAUUUAACCUCCAUCUUAGAUUCCAUCCCAAAUUUUGACUACCACAAAUCAGGAUUAGUCAUCAGAGUUUUAUAUUCCUUCCAAAGUUACUCUUAAUAUUGAUCAUAAUUUUGUCUGGGCAGUUUUUUGCAUUCACUUGAAUCCUCCCUUGUUUUUUUAUUACAGUAAGGAGAAAAAAUUACUUCCUGAUCUGCCUUUGCUGUACCGUUCAUUAUUUUAUGUGCAUUUUAUUGAAUCUUAUUCAACUCCUUUCCCAAACUUUUCAGUCCCUAUUCAUCUUAAUUUUAAUGCCCUUAAUCAUUAUUGUUGUUUUCUCUGAAACAGUCUUUUCACAUGAAGUACUGGAAAUAAUGCUGAUCUACUUGAUUUGAGGGGAUAGAUGCAUUUUGAAUCUGCCUUCAUUUAAUGAUCUAGAGUGAUGAACAGAUGCCUUCUUCAGCUGCAAGGACAGCUCAAGAAUUGAAUUGUGCUGCCUCAAGUGGUGAGGAGUUGUGCCAGUGCCUGUGUCAUGAGUAGGGAAGGAAGAAAUGACAAAGUUGAGCUGGGGACCUGAUUACUUCCUUGGGUGCAAUAGUAGUGAUGACAGCUGUCCUGCUUUCCCCUAGAUCCCCUUCAGUGGAUUGCCAUUCUAACAUUUGUGUAAUGAGUACUGGCUCAUCAUUUCUCUCCCCAGAAGACACAAAGGUGUGAAGUUCAAAAGGUGUAAAAUCUGCUAAGAUGGGAACUUUAAGGCAUAAAAUCUGUACAGCUAAUGACAAUAAUAUUUCCUAAAUACAAAAGUGUAAACUAGUGAAGUAUUUACUCUCUCAAAUGUUCCAGUUUUACUUUGAGGCUUUAACAAAAGUUAAGUUACAUGAAAUUAAAUCAUGUUUUUUCAGGAAUUAACACAAGCAAUAAGGCAAAAUUAUGAAAGGAAAAAAUGUAUUAUUUUAUUUCCCUGGUGAACCAAACUGCAAUGGGAACUUGGAACAAUAACCAGUUUGAAAUUAUGUUAUCCAUUUCUCCCCCAUCAGUGAGCCAACUCUGAUUAUUAUUGUGUGUAGGCAUUUUGUUGUGGAUUUUAAAAUAAACAUUUUUUAAAACUCAGGAAAAGAUUUAUUUUCAACAAAAUCAACCCGGAAAAUUAGAGACUACCCUAAAAAAGAUAUUAAAAGAGUUUGAGGAAGCCAGCUUCUUGGGCCAUCUGUAACCAUCUACAGUGCCAAGUUGAUCUGGAGUGAUCGAACUUUUUUUCUUGCUGUUCAGACCACCAGAGGCAAGGAUUUCAAAGCAAGAAGAGCACGUACUGAUUUAUGGCAUUUCAGCUGGACAAAAUAUGUUUUUGAAGACUUUCUUUGGUAGGAAAUUUCUACCAUCUUCAUCGGGAAUUAAAUUUUCAGAGUCAAUGUAAAUGUUAUUCUGAAGCUAUUGAGAUUGAUAGUCUGCAAUCCAGUGAGAAAUGUUUAUUGUUCAAUAUGUUCCUGUGAAUUUGUAAUUUUGGCGGUGAAACUGAAAGCUAGACUAAAGCUAAAUGCACACAGAUGUCUAAGGACUGAUAUCUCAUCGAUUUCAUUUGGAAUUAGACAUCUCAAGUCCUCUGAGAAUCUGCGCUGAAAGGUGUUUGAAAGCAUUGUGAGUUACUUUUUUGUGCAGGUGCAGUUUAUAAUUGAAAAUUUGGGAACAUGAAGGGAAAAGGUAAAGAUUCAAGUGAUUACAAUCCUUAGGCUAUCUUGAAUUAGGAAAAAGUGAAUGAGACUCUGCAACCAACAAUAAUAAAAAGUAUGUAUCAACCCCUAACUUUUUCCUUCCAGCCCAAAAAUGUAUCUGACUUCAUUUUGGUAGUUUUCCUCUAUGUUAUGAAUUUGAUGCUUUAAGUAAGAAAAAAAAUAAAGUGAUUUUCCCAUGA